GGGCGGACUAGGCAGGGAGGUUAGCCCUCUCCUGUUACCGUUAAUGGGCUUUAAACGGUGCUGAAGUUCAGGAAGCAGCAUAAUUCCUGCGUGUAGUCUUUGGCUGGACGUUGAAGUUCUGUCCGGCAGGAUUGUGGCUGCAGGAACCGCGCCAGGACCGGAAGGUAGCAACGCUCACUGUAGUUUCUCAAUGCUUGUCGGGUCGCGGAGCUGAGGAAGGUCAAAGGUUAAACUGCAUUGUAGGUUUUUUGUUCAUUCUUGGACGUGUCCGCCU
rnacentral:SRP_RNA from 1 species